UACGUAGGGCGCAAGCGUUGUCCGGAAUUAUUGGGCGUAAAGAGCUCGUAGGCGGCCUGUUGCGUCCGCUGUGAAAUCCCGGGGCUCAACCCCGGGCGUGCAGUGGAUACGGGCUGGCUGGAGGCAGGCAGGGGAGAACGGAAUUCCUGGUGUAGCGGUGAAAUGCGCAGAUAUCAGGAGGAACACCGGUGGCGAAGGCGGGUCUCUGGGCCGAUACUGACGCUGAGGAGCGAAAGCGUGGGGAUCAAACAGG
rnacentral:rRNA from 1 species